rnacentral:sRNA from 1 species
UUCCUAAAUAUGGAAAGCCAUUUACCAC